rnacentral:rRNA from 1 species
GCCUACCAUGGUUUUAACGGGUAACGGGGAAUAAGGGUUCGAUUCCGGAGAGGGAGCCUGAGAAACGGCUACCACAUCCAAGGAAGGCAGCAGGCGCGCAAAUUACCCAAUCCCGACACGGGGAGGUAGUGACAAUAAAUAACAAUACAGGGUCCUUUUGGGUCCUGUAAUUGGAAUGAGUACAAUUUAAAUCUCUUAACGAGGAACAAUUGGAGGGCAAGUCUGGUGCCAGCAGCCGCGGUAAUUCCAGCUCCAAUAGCGUAUAUUAAAGUUGUUGCAGUUAAAAAGCUCGUAGUUGAAUUUCGGGAUUAGUACGUUGGUCGUGCCUUAGGUACGUACUGGUGUUACUGGUUCCUACCUUCUGACGAACCAUCAUGUCAUUAAUUUGGUGUGGCGGGGAAUCAGGACUGUUACUUUGAAAAAAUUAGAGUGUUUAAAGCAGGCUCGCGCUUGAAUACAUUAGCAUGGAAUAAUGAAAUAGGACGUUGACCCUAUUUUGUUGGUUUCUAGGAUUGACGUAAUGAUUAAUAGGGAUAGUUGGGGGCAUUAGUAUUCAAUUGUCAGAGGUGAAAUUCUUGGAUUUAUUGAAGACUAACUACUGCGAAAGCAUUUGCCAAGGAUGUUUUCAUUAAUCAAGAACGAAAGUUAGGGGAUCGAAGACGAUCAGAUACCGUCGUA